UACGUAGGGGGCAAGCGUUGUCCGGAAUUAUUGGGCGUAAAGCGCGCGUAGGUGGCCUCAUAAGUCCGCUGUGAAAGUCAAAGGCUCAACCUUUGAAAGCCGGUGGAUACUGUGAGGCUAGAGUACGGAAGAGGCGAGUGGAAUUCCUGGUGUAGCGGUGGAAUGCGCAGAUAUCAGGAGGAACACCAAUAGCGAAGGCAGCUCGCUGGGACGUUACUGACACUGAGGCGCGAAAGCGUGGGGAGCGAACAGG
rnacentral:rRNA from 1 species